ensembl:ncRNA K01C8.11 ncRNA
GAGACCCUCUAAAAAUUUUAUUUAUGUUCCUUUGUUACAAAAGUGCGGGAAACUUUAAACUCUGAAUUAUUCGAAACGUCCCACAUGUUUUUCUUCUGUGAAUUUUGUGUUUGUUGACCGAUUUUUGAUGCAACUCUU